GUGGAUUAGAUACCCUGGUAGUCCACGCCGUAAACGAUGGAAGCUAGCCGUUGGUGGGUUUACUCAUCAGUGGCGCAGCUAACGCAUUAAGCUUCCCGCCUGGGGAGUACGGUCGCAAGAUUAAAACUCAAAGGAAUUGACGGGGGCCCGCACAAGCGGUGGAGCAUGUGGUUCAAUUCGAAGCAACGCGAAGAACCUUACCAACCUUUGACAUGCCUCGUAUGGUCGCUGGAGACAGCUUCCUUCCCGCAAGGGGCGAGAGCACAGGUGCUGCAUGGCCGUCGUCAACU
rnacentral:rRNA from 1 species